UCCAUCUAUAAAAUAACAAGUCCAUUAAAGGUAAAUGAUUUAAAAUAGUUAGAACUGGAAUGAACAUCUAGCCAUUAAAAGCAAAUGAUUUAAAGCAAAAUAGUUAAAACUGGAAUGAACUUACUUUUCUUGAAACUGGAAUGAACUAGAUGCCAGUUUUUGGGUCUUAUAUGCAGGUUUUGUUACAUUUCUUUCUCUUGGACACUGUAAUGAACAGCCCAGGACAAUGUAGUUUUUCUUUCGAUCCUAUUGUUGUUAUCUAUCUGGGUCUUACAUGCAGGAUUUGUUACAGCCAACUAUCUUGGAUAUGGUAAUGAAGGCUGUGACUGUAUUGAAACAGAUGCUCAUAUUGACACCAUCCUCUUGGAUUAGUAUGGGGUUUUGCCACAACAGGUGGUGGUCGGGUUAUGAUAUGUUGUUCCUCAAAUUUCUGAAAGGAUGGGAUCCUUCUUUUUCUAUAUUUUUCAGGUUCCGUUGAUUGGUGUUAGGGGGCUCUACAUCUCUGGAUUUUCUUCAGCCCAGUACUGUUGAUCAACUGUUGUUAUUGUCACUAGGAGCCACAGACUUAUUAAUGGGUACUCAUCUAUGUUCCAUAAGUCAAUGAACUCAUAAGUCAUUAAAAGCAAAUGAUUUAAAGCAAAAUAGUUAGAACUGGAAUGAAAAAUCACCUAUGUUCCAGUAGCAUCUAUGUUCCAGUAGCAUGUCAAUAUGGCCUUAAAUAUAAUUUUGCUUAAAACUCACCUGCUUUCUAGAUGCAGUCUUGAAGUGCAUGUCUCAAACUAAAUAUGUGAUCUUAAACCAAUGUGAUAAAUCUCAAAGCUGGAGUUUGUAUUGUAUGAUAUACCCAUCCUCUCAUUCAGAGAAAGGAGCAAAAAUAGA